AUUUUGGGUGCCCCUAGGUGUGCCCAGGUGCAUCCCAGGUGUAUCCCAGGUGUGCCCAGGUGUAUCCCAGGUGUAUCCCAGCUGUGCCCAGGUGUAUCCCAGGUGCCCCCAGGUGUGCCCAGGUGUGCCCAGGUGUAUCCCAGGUGUAUCCCAGGUGUAUCCCAGGUGUAUCCCAGGUGUAUCCCAGCUGUGCCCAGGUGUAUUUUGGGUGCCCCCAGGUGUAUCCCAGGUGUAUCCCAGGUGUGUUUGGGUAUAUUUUGGGUACAUUUUGGGUAUCCAGGUGUAUCUCAGGUGUGCCCAGGUGUAUCUCAGGUAUAUUUUGGGUACCCAGGUGUACCCAGGUGUACCCAGGUGUGCCCAGGUGUGCCCCCUCACCUGUCUCACCCACUCCAGGUUCAGUUUCCCGCCCAGGUGGAACCCCCAGGUGUAUCUCAGGUGUAUCCCAGGUGUAUCUCAGGUGUGCCAUGUCUUACCUGCCGCACCCACUCCAGGUUCAGUUUCCCGCCCAGGUGGAAGCCCCAGGUGUGCCCAGGUGUAUCUCAGGUGUAUUUUGGGUACCCAGGUGUAUCUCAGGUGUACCCAAGUGUGCCCAGGUGUGCCAUGUCUCACCUGCCGUACCCACUCCAGGUUGAGUUUGCCCCCCAGGUGGAACCCCCAGGUGUAUCUCAGGUGUACUUUGGGUGUAUGUUGGGUACCCAGGUGUAUCUCAGGUGUAUCUCAGGUGUGCCCCCUUACCUGCCGUACCCA
rnacentral:lncRNA from 1 species